AGUGAACGCUGGCGGUAGGCCUAACACAUGCAAGUCGAACGGCAGCACAGGAGAGCUUGCUCUCUGGGUGGCGAGUGGCAGACGGGUGAGGAAUACAUCGGAAUCUACUCUGUCGUGGGGGAUAACGUAGGGAAACUUACGCUAAUACCGCAUACGACCUACGGGUGAAAGCAGGGGACCUUCGGGCCUUGCGCGAUUGAAUGAGCCGAUGUCGGAUUAGCUAGUUGGCGGGGUAAAGGCCCACCAAGGCGACGAUCCGUAGCUGGUCUGAGAGGAUGAUCAGCCACAGUGGAACUGUGACACGGUCCAGACUCCUACGGGAGGCAGCAGUGGGCAAUAUUGGACAAUGGGCGCAAGCCUGAUCCAGCCAUACCGCGUGGGUGAAGAGGGCCUUCGGGUUGUAAAGCCCUUUUGUUGGGAAAGAAAUCCAGCUGGCUAAUACCCGGUUGGGAUGACGGUACCCAAAGAAUAAGCACCGGCUAACUUCGUGCCAGCAGCCGCCGUAA
rnacentral:rRNA from 1 species